rnacentral:rRNA from 1 species
UACGGGGGGGGCAAGCGUUGUUCGGAAUUACUGGGCGUAAAGGGUUCGUAGGUGGCUUGCUAAGUCAGACGUGAAAUCCCUCAGCUUAACUGGGGAACUGCGUCUGAGACUGGCAAGCUUGAGUGCAGGAGAGGAACGCGGAAUUCCAGGUGUAGCGGUGAAAUGCGUAGAUAUCGAGAGGAACACCUGCGGCGAAGGCGGGUUGCUGGGCCGACACUGACGCUGAUGCGCGAAAGCCAGGGGAGCGAACGGG